rnacentral:rRNA from 1 species
UACGGGGGAUGCAAGCGUUAUCCGGAUUUAUUGGGUUUAAAGGGUGCGUAGGCUGUGAGGUAAGUCAGCGGUGAAAUGCCCCCGCUCAACGGGGUGAAGUGCCAUUGAUACUGCCUUGCUGGAAUGCGGAUGCCGUGGGGGGAAUGUGUGGUGUAGCGGUGAAAUGCAUAGAUAUCACACAGAACACCGAUUGCGAAGGCAUCUCACGAAUCCGCGAUUGACGCUGAUGCACGAAAGCGUGGGUAUCAAACAGG